ensembl:lncRNA
AUGUGUGGUAAAUUACAAGAAGAAAAUCCCAUCGGAAAACUGUAUGAAGACUGUUCUCAAGUAUUUCAGCCCAGCUUAGCAGAAGGGAAGGGAGAAGGCCCAGGAGGUACCUUCCAUCGACUGUACGCAGUGUUAACAAUCCUAAGAAAUCCUGGCUUGAUGACAAUAGCAGUCAGCCAACUGCCAGAGAAGGCAAAAUGAAAUGAGAACCUGAUUGAUUUGUCCCUGGUAAGUCAAUUAAGGUGUUUUUAUAUUGAACAUGUUGCACAAUAUCAGGAAAACAAAAAAUGUAGAACAAGAGUGUUGAUUAAAUUUGUUCAGUUGCAUAAUUUAGAGACCCCGCCAGUCUGCUAAAUCCUUCACCAAACAUUUAUUUGCUAAAUAGAAUCUAGCAAGCAUGGUGAAUGGCUUCCUGCUGCCUGAGAAAAGAAACAAAAUGUUUCAUUCACUUAUUAUUAGAAUGAUGGGGAGUCCUUACUAUUGGUAAACAGCGAAUGCAAGUUGGCAGAUGAGAGUAUUAGCAGAAUGGGGUUUGUUUGGAUUGAUUUAUAGUGGCAUAGACAUAAACAGAUGUAAGCAGUUAACUGAGAGCAGUAAAUCAUGUAGAGGUCACAAUAAAGCACUGGUAUGCUUAGUUGUGAUUAUGGCUGCCUGAAAUAAAUUUAGAUAUGGAAGUAUUACUUGGAUAGCUAGAAUAACUUCCUCUAUCACUUAAAAGACAGCAUAAUCCAGUAAUAUGAAAGUUUUCCCAUGAAGCACCUAUUUAGAGAAAUGAAAGUAUUCAUAAUUUCUUUGGUAAUGAUUGAUGAUAAAAGGUGAAUACCACUAUUGCUGAAGAAAAUUACUGGACCUGUGAGAGAUUAGCUAGAAAAUAAUACUAUCAUUUGAUUGAGCCCAAAUGCCACAGAUUUGGGGCUCUGCAGGGUAGUCUCCAUACCUUAUUUUUUACAGGGUAAAUAUUCAGCUAACACUUGCAUAAUUCUGUGUGUGUCACAGAAAAAAGGCUGACUUUUACUGGGACACUAUCACAUUUCGACAUGUGUUGGUGAAGAUAAUGCUAGGUGCUGUAGCAGGUCAACCUUAGAGUCUCAGUGACUUAAAACAUGGGGAAUUCAUUCCUGCAAUUUAAUGGGAAUAAAUAUGCAAAUGAAUUUGGUUCUGAAGAAGGCUGCAGGUGAACUAGGAUUAAAAUGAAGUUGUUGCAGAGGUGUGUACAUAUAUUCAAAUGCAAGAGAAACUCUUUUCAUGAUUAUCAAAAUUAUCCCUAGGCUACCUUUUGAACAGGGGGAGAUGGAGUGUACCCUCUUUUUGGUUGAGUCUUUUUCCCCACUAAGGCAAAAGACCACUAAAUGUCUGUGGCUGCAGAUGAUUCUCCUGAAAGCACAGGGAGAGGAGUGAGGGUGAUCUGCCCACAUUACUUAACUAGCACCAAAGACAAAGUAUAAAAUGAACGUGUGAAAAUUCACUGAUAUUUCCUCUUAACUGCCUUUUCAUUAGCAGACUCUUAAGCAGCCUUUCAGUUUGUACUUUUAUCCAAUACAGAAACAUCUUUCUUCUCAGUAUCAAUGUGUUUGAAAGUGCCUUGUAUACCUUUAACACAUUUUUUCAAAGCCUUAGAAUUCUGAAUAGUUUCCUAUAAGAUAACAACCAUGCUUUCUUUGCCCUCCAGUUCAUGAAUCCUACAUGGGCAGAAUCAUGUACCAUAAAUCUUCCUGAAUAUGUUGAACAAGAGUGUUUCCAGAUAAAAUAAAUGGUUUUUUUUGGCAGAAUCACUCUGUCUACAUUGUUCUCUAAGCCACUGAAUAAUUACAUAAAUCUAUGGAAAGAACCACCAGUUCUGAAAAUGUGUCAUUUUAAUAUCUUUGAAAAUUUAGGAUUUGGGGGUUGAAAAUCAUGAGAUUUUGGUAAAAGCUUCACAGAAAGAGCAGUUUAUAUUGAGGCUCGGAAGUAGUUUAAAGACGCUGAUGGCAGCAAUACAGCUGAAGCCUACAGGGACUUAGGAAGUCUAAGCUGCCCAUCUUCUGUCUCCCUGCCUUUCCGUUUAUCUGCAUUUUCUCUUGAACAGCUCUUUCCUGCUUUGUAGCACUCAUGGUGGAAAAUAAUUGGUGUUGAAAAUACCUCACAAGCUCUAAGGUCUAAUUACCCAGGAAGUAAAGGACUAACUGCUUCAGCCCUAGCCUCCCAUCUCUGGGCUAAUCAGCAAAGCCACAAGUGGGUCACAUUAUGGGAACACUGCAGUUCUAUGGCCACUGAAUGGCAACUUAGAGAAGUGAUUGGUGGAAAGUCAGUGCCAGGAAAAAUAUUCCUUAGUUUCACUACAAUUUCAAAUCUUGAAUAUACCAUGUUUAAAAAAUGCUUUUAAUAUAGAAAGUUUUAAUCUGGUGCUAAUUUAAUGGGACAAAGUGUCUAAGAAGUGAGUUUCUUUCAUGUUGUUAAGGGAUGUGAAGUUGUCUGGGACAAGAGUUUUAAACUUGGGGUCAGAUACUAAAUGUAUAGAUAACAACUACCCCAGUAUGUCCAGUUUUUAACUAUUGAUUACUCAGCAUGAUUCUGUAGAAGCCUGUUGCCCUUAACGUGCAUCUUCCUUAGCUCCAGGUUCUGACUUUGUCAACUGCCGCAGAGCAUUACUCUGUUCUGAUCAAGUCUCAUCUGCUAUUUAUGACUAAUUCUAAGAAAAAUUAUAACAAGUCACCUUUAUGGACUAAUCGUUUACUCAGUCACCCCUGUUUUUUAUCUGUCCUGUUUGUUUUCGCACACUGUUCUCCAUAACGUUUUCCCUCAGUAAUUCAGCCCAAUUUUGUGAGCUUGCCACACUAUGUAAAACACUACAGUGAUGUGCUGUCAAAUAUCCCAACAUGAGAAGAGUACAAUUUCUGUCACCAGUGAAUGUAAAGUCAUUUAUCAAGACAGGUUUUUUUUUAUGAGGUAGACUGUGAUAUUAAAAUCUUGUAUUGGUAGAUUUAAAGAUAUGAAUUCUUAUUAGAGCAAAGUAAUUCUUAAUAAAAACCUCUGUCAAGAAGGAGAUAGCCUGUUGGAAUAGAUGUAUUUUUAUGGCACCUACUAUAAGGAAAGAGAUGUUGGACUUGGCAUGCAAAGAUAUUUUAGGUGGUAAUCACUCAUGGACUAAAUUACAGAGCAGUCUUAGUAAAAACCUAGGUUAAUGAAAAAGAAUUGAAGAAGAUAAAACUGAAUAGACAGGUAAGGCAAAAUUAUAGAGUACACUGAACAUAACUCUUAUGAUCAUUCUUCAGGCUCUAGGAAGUCCACCGAAUUUUAUGAACAUAGAAAUGAGGUGUUAUAAAGUGUUUGUUUCUUCCAAAACAUCUUCAAAAUAUCAAUGACUAACAGCAACAAAAGUUUAUUUUCUUAAUUGGUUGCUCCUGGGCUCAGCUUGAUUUGCUAAUGUUGGCUUCAAAAGUCAAAGUAGAUUUACUUAGAUAAAUAGCAGCUACCUGCCUUUUUAGUGGAGAAAUCCAAAGAAUAGAAGAGGUAAGAAAAAUAUACCUUUUAAGGCGUUAACUGGAAUCUGAACCAUUAAGUGACCAGUUUGGUACUUUCACUGAUCAAACAAGUCAUGUGGCUGAGUCCAACAUCAAUGGGGUGUGAAAAAUAUACUCUACUGGAGGAUGGUGCAAAGUCACAUGUCAAAGGACCUGGCAACAGGGUGAGUGUGAAGAGUUGGGAACAAUGGCCCAACCCACCACAAGUAUUAUGAGCAGAGCAGUGCCUUAGGAGCACGUUUGACCCAUUGGAUGGAGUAGAGGCUCACCGGGGAGCCAAUAGCCAUAUUGCAACUAGGAGUUAUAUUUUUGGAAGAACUUUUUCAACUUAUUUAAACUACUCAGGUAUUUUCAAUACCCUAUUAUUUGAUGUCAGUCAUACCCUUGUCAGAAAUAUGAGGGGCCUGAGACUGUACCCUGCUAAAAGUCACCACAGCAGAGUUACAGGGAUGCUAGCUGAAGGCAUGAGACUCAUGGAGCAGAGGCAAGAACGUACUACUCAUGGCUCAGCAGAAAUGUUGUCAGGUCCAGGAUAUAUAGUGUAUGUAUGUGUGUAGACAUGGAUACACAAUAUGCAUUAGGUCAAAAGUUUACUAAUGUUCAGAUCAUCUACACCAUAUUGAAAGUUCGCUUGUGAUAUUGGCUCUUGACAGAGUUGUAUACAAGACUGCCACUGUGUGUAUAGAUUGUCUGUUUUUUCACUGUUUUAGUCUGUCAACUUUGCCUCAUAUAUGUUGACAUUAUGGUAUAACAUGUAUAUACAUUUAAAUUGUGACAUCUUCCUAGCGGGUUAACCUUCUGGCCGUGAACUAUCCUCUCAAUCUUCAGAAGCUUCCUAGCUGUGCAGCCUGAUGUUAAUAACACACCCUUGUUUUAUUUAAAGUUCAGAUGUCUUUUUUUCAUACUUUAAUUUUCAACUUGCUUAUAUUUAAGGCAUGUUGCUUCUUAGAAGCAUGUUUUGGCUUUUAUAUUUUUAUCCAGCCUGAUAAUCUUUGUCUUUUAAUUGGAUAGUUCAAUACAUUUGCAUUUAAUAUAGUUACUGGAAUAUUUGGUUUCUAUUUAUUACCUUACUUUUUCUAUUUAUCUCACAUUUUUUUGGCCAUGCCCACAGUAUGUGGAAUUUCUCAGGCAAGGAAUUAAACCUGCACCACAGCAGUGACCCAAACCACUGCACUGACAGCACCAGAUCCGUAAUCUGCUUGACCACCAGCGAACUCCCAUCCCACAUGUUUUAAAUUUCUUUUUCUGCCUUUCUUUUGCAUUAUUUUUUUAAUUUCCAUUUUUCCUUUUAUUAGCUUAUUAGUGUUAUAUAUGUGUUAUAUUGUGGGUAUUUAUUCAAACCCUAAAUAUACAAUACUGGCAUUACUUUGUGGAUCGGUAGUCAUUCAUAGCUUCCUCUGUGUUUGCUCUGUCAGUUUUCAUCCCUCCUAUGCAUCUGAGAUUCUUCCUCAGAGCGAGCAGUGUUAGUGAAUCCCCACACCAUCCUCUCCCAGGUUCCUGAAUUCAAAGUCCCCAGCUUUGUAACAGUAUCCAGCUC